GAUGAAGAACGUAGCGAAAUGCGAUACUUGGUGUGAAUUGCAGAAUCCCGUGAACCAUCCAGUCUUUGAACGCAAGUUGCGCCCGAAGCCAUUAGGCCGAGGGCACGCCUGCCUGGGCGUCACACGUCGUUGCCCCCCCAUCUACUCCUUCGGGAUUGCGGGGGGCGGAUGAUGGCCUCCCGUGCGCCUCGCCGCGCGGUUGGCAUAAAUGCCAAGUCCUCGGCGACGCACGCCACGACAAUCGGUGGUUGCGAAACCUCGGUUGCCCGUCGUGUGCGGUCGUCGCGCAUCGAGGGCUCGAAAAAAUUGCCGGGUUCCGGCUCGGCUUUCAACGCGACCCCAGGUCAGGCGGGGUUACCCGCUGAAUUUAAGCAUAUCAAUAAGCGGAGGA
rnacentral:misc_RNA from 1 species